GAUGAACGCUGGCGGCGUGCUUAAUACAUGCAAGUCGAGCGAAGCGCUUUAACGGAAUUCUCCGGAAGGAAGAUAAAGUGACUGAGCGGCGGACGGGUGAGUAACGCGUGGGUAACCUGCCUCAUACAGGGGGAUAACAGUUAGAAAUGGCUGCUAAUACCGCAUAAGCGCACAGGACCGCAUGGUCUGGUGUGAAAAACUCCGGUGGUAUGGGAUGGACCCGCGUUGGAUUAGGUAGUUGGUGGGGUAACGGCCUACCAAGCCGACGAUCCAUAGCCGGCCUGAGAGGGUGGACGGCCACAUUGGGACUGAGACACGGCCCAGACUCCUACGGGAGGCAGCAGUAGGGAAUAUUGCACAAUGGGGGAAACCCUGAUGCAGCGACGCCGCGUUAUGGAAGAAGUAUCUCGGUAUGUAAACUUCUAUCAGCAGGGAAGACAAAGACG
rnacentral:rRNA from 1 species